rnacentral:rRNA from 1 species
CCUACGGGAGGCUGCAGUGGGGAAUAUUGGGCAAUGGGCGCAAGCCUGACCCAGCAACGCCGCGUGAAGGAAGAAGGCUUUCGGGUUGUAAACUUCUUUUGACAGGGAAGAGCAGAAGACGGUACCUGUCGAAUAAGCCACGGCUAACUACGUGCCAGCAGCCGCGGUCAUACGUAGGUGGCAAGCGUUGUCCGGAUUUACUGGGUGUAAAGGGCGUGUAGCCGGGCUGACAAGUCAGAGGUGAAAUCCGGGGGCUCAAACCCCGAACUGCAUUUGAAACUGUUGGUCUUGAGUAUCGGAGAGGCAGGCGGAAUGCGUGGUGUAGCGGUGAAAUGCGUAGAUAUCAGGAGGAACGCCGGUGGCGAAGGCGGCCUGCUGGACGACAACUGACGGUGAGGCGCGAAAGCGUGGGGAGCGAACAGGAUUAGAUACCCUUGUAGUC